rnacentral:rRNA from 1 species
GACGAACGCUGGCGGCGUGCUUAACACAUGCAAGUCGAACGGAAAGGCCCUGCUUUUGUGGGGUGCUCGAGUGGCGAACGGGUGAGUAACACGUGAGUAACCUGCCCUUGACUUUGGGAUAACUUCAGGAAACUGGGGCUAAUACCGGAUAGGAGCUCCUGCUGCAUGGUGGGGGUUGGAAAGUUUCGGCGGUUGGGGAUGGACUCGCGGCUUAUCAGCUUGUUGGUGGGGUAGUGGCUUACCAAGGCUUUGACGGGUAGCCGGCCUGAGAGGGUGACCGGCCACAUUGGGACUGAGAUACGGCGCAGACUCCUACGGGAGGCAGCAGUGGGGAAUAUUGCACAAUGGGCGGAAGCCUGAUGAAGCGGCGCCGCGUGCGGGAUGACGGCCUUCGGGUUGUAAACCGCUUUCGCCUGUGACGAAGCGUGAGUGACGGUAAUGGGUAAAGAAGCACCGGCUAACUACGUG